GUUCAACGGCCGCGGUAUUUUGACCGUGCAAAGGUAGCGCAAUCACUUGUCUUUUAAAUAGAGACCUGUAUGAAUGGCUAAACGAGGGCUUAACUGUCUCCCCUUUCAAGUCAGUGAAAUUGAUCUACCCGUGCAGAGGCGGGUAUAAUACUACAAGACGAGAAGACCCUUUGGAGCUUAAGGUACAAAACUCAACCACGUUAAGCAACUCAAUAAAAAGCAAAAACCUUGUGGACCAUGAGAUUUUACCUUCGGUUGGGGCGGCCACGGAGGAAAGAAAAGCCUCCAGGUGGACUGGGAAAACCUCCUAAAACCAAGAGAGACAUCUCUAAGCCACAGAACAUCUGACCAAAUAUGAUCCGGCUAACACAUAGCCGAUCAACGAACCAAGUUACCCUAGGGAUAACAGCGCAAUCCUCUCCCAGAGUCCAUAUCGACGAGGGGGUUUACGACCUCGAUGUUGGAUCAGGACAUCCUAAUGGUGCAGCCGCUAU
rnacentral:rRNA from 1 species